rnacentral:rRNA from 1 species
GAUGAACGCUGGCGGCGUGCCUAAUUCAUGCAAGUCGAGCGAACAGAUGAGGAGCUUGCUCCUCUGACGUUAGCGGCGGACGGGUGAGUAACACGUGGAUAACCUACCUAUAAGACUGGGAUAACUUCGGGAAACCGGAGCUAAUACCGGAUAAUAUAUUGAACCGCAUGGUUCAAUAGUGAAAGACGGUUUUGCUGUCACUUAUAGAUGGAUCCGCGCCGCAUUAGCUAGUUGGUAAGGUAACGGCUUACCAAGGCAACGAUGCGUAGCCGACCUGAGAGGGUGAUCGGCCACACUGGAACUGAGACACGAUCCAGACUCCUACGGGAGGCAGCAGUAGGGAAUCUUCCGCAAUGGGCGAAAGCCUGACGGAGCAACGCCGCGUGAGUGAUGAAGGUCUUCGGAUCGUAAAACUCUGUUAUUAGGGAAGAACAAAUGUGUAAGUAACUAUGCACGUCUUGACGGUACCUAAUCAGAAAGCCACGGCUAACUACGUG